rnacentral:rRNA from 1 species
GAUCCUGGCUCAGAAUCAACGCUGGCGGCGUGCCUAACACAUGCAAGUCGAACGAGAAAGUGGUAGCAAUACCAUGAGUAAAGUGGCGCACGGGUGAGUAACACGUGACUAACCUACCCUGGAGUGGGGGAUAACUGAGGGAAACCUUAGCUAAUACCGCAUAAUACCCACGGGUCAAAGGAGCAAUUCGCUUUGGGAGGGGGUCGCGGCCGAUUAGUUAGUUGGCGGGGUAACGGCCCACCAAGACGAUGAUCGGUAUCCGGCCUGAGAGGGCGCACGGACACACUGGAACUGAAACACGGUCCAGACUCCUACGGGAGGCAGCAG